AGUCACUAAAUAUUUGAGCUUCUGAGAGGAAGCUUUAAAAAGAAUCUCCCAGCUGAUUUCUGCGAACUGGCAUUUUAUGAAAAUGUCAAAAAUAUACUGCAUGAACCGUCUGGGAGCAAGUUGCAAGUCAAUUGGGAGUGUAGUACGAGUAUUCAAUUAAAAUGAUGUGUAGCACAGACUUAAUUACUCUAGUCUAUCCUUGCUAUCAAGAGGGUCCGUAAGUACAGGAUGCCGCUUUAAGUGCCAAUGGAUCAUUUACAUUCACCUGAGAAGGCAGGUGUUCUAUUGGAAAGACCGAUUUUCCUUGGAUUAUUGAAAGUAAAGUUGCAUUUACGCUCAACAUAAAUCUGACCAUUGUUUAUGUAUUGUGGACUUGUUUGCUACCGGGUAAUGACAUACUUUCAUGGACGUCAAGUCUUAAGGUGGGAAUUGAACCCACAACUUCUAGCUCAGAGG